GUAGGUGGGAGUUCUAACAUGUAAGGCAACUUACAUUUUUGUCUGGGGCGGCCCCAAGGCCAGCAGAUCUCUGCACUCACCUUCAGAAACUUAAAAGGUUUAUCGGGAGGUCUUAGCGGGGUUCAGCUGCAUAUACAGUGCCGAUGCACCUAAUAGCCUCCCUCUCUUAAGGCUGUAUCCUUAGAACUCCCGCUGUGGGAACAGUGGGCACAAGGUCCAUUCCAAAGACGGGAGGGCUGGAGCCUCCGAUUGCCCAGGUUCAACUCACGUGUCAAUCAACGGUCACAUCCUUUCGAUGACCUCCCCUAACAACCUCUCAUGCUGAGCAGGAUUUCCUGAGGCUCCGACACUUGCCAGGCCUCCAGUGUGGGUCAAGCAAGACCCAUUCUUUGACCAGACCCAGUGCGUCUUCCUUCUCCCUCUGCUUCCUGACCAUCAGGUGUUAGAAAUUCGAGGCUCCACAGGUGACCUGAGAGCACCGUGGACCUCUGUGUCCUCUCCUUGUCAUCCUUCUGGAUUUCACUGCUGUCCCGUGAGGCGGAAUGUCUUUGUCAUGCACUGAUGUGAGAAUUGGACCAUAAAGAAGUUUGAACGCUAAAGAAUUGAUGCUUUCAAAUUGUGGUGCUGGAGAAGAUUCUUGAGAGUUUCUGGACUGCAAGGAGAUCAAACCGUCAAUCCUAAAGGAAAUCAUCCCUGAAUAUUCAUUGGAAGGACUGAUGCUGAAGCUGAAGCUCCAAUCCUUUGGCCACUUGAUGUGAAAAGCUGACUCACUGGAAAAGACCUUGAUGCUGGGAAAGACUGAGGGCAAGAGAAGAAGGGGGUGGCAGAGGAUGAGAUGGUUGGAUGGCAUCACUGAAUCAAUGGACAUGAAUUUGAGUAAACUCCGGGAGAUAGUGAAGGACAGAGGAGCCUGGUGUGCUGCAGUCCAUGGAGUCACAAAGAGUCAGACACGACUUCGCAACUGAACAACAAACAACAAUUUGUGAAAUGAGAAUGCACAUCAACAAGGAGUCUUCCCCUUCCCACCCCCGCCCCCCCAGGAUCUUAGUUUCUCAAUCAGGGAUUGAACCCACUCUUCCUCCAGUGAAAGCACAAAGUCCUAGCCACUGGACCACCAGGGAAUUCCUCCAAGUGGGUCUUGUUAACAUUCUCAGGUGGGCCCAAGA
ensembl:lncRNA